rnacentral:rRNA from 1 species
UGCAUUUGUUCGUCUUCUGGAAGUGUAAGUAUUUAUCGUAAACGGAGCCAUGUAUCAAACAGUCGAGAGUUCAAAUAUCUGUCCUAUCAACUAUUGAUGGUAGUAUAGAGAGGAAGGUGCGAUUCCAGAGAGGGAACCUGAGAAAUGACUACCACAUCCAAGGAAGGUAGCA